rnacentral:rRNA from 1 species
AGUGAACGCUGGCGGUAGGCCUAACACAUGCAAGUCGAACGGCAGCACAGUAAGAACUUGCUCUUACGGGUGGCGAGUGGCGGACGGGUGAGGAAUACAUCGGAAUCUACUUUUUCGUGGGGGAUAACGUAGGGAAACUUACGCUAAUACCGCAUACGACCUACGGGUGAAAGCAGGGGAUCUUCGGACCUUGCGCGAUUGAAUGAGCCGAUGUCGGAUUAGCUAGUUGGCGGGGUAAAGGCCCACCAAGGCGACGAUCCGUAGCUGGUCUGAGAGGAUGAUCAGCCACACUGGAACUGAGACACGGUCCAGACUCCUACGGGAGGCAGCAGUGGGGAAUAUUGGACAAUGGGCGCAAGCCUGAUCCAGCCAUACCGCGUGGGUGAAGAAGGCCUUCGGGUUGUAAAGCCCUUUUGGUGGGAAAGAAAAGCAGCAGGUUAAUACCCCGCUGUUCUGACGGUACCCAAAGAAUAAGCACCGGCUAACUUCGUG